rnacentral:misc_RNA from 1 species
UUUCGUAGGUGAACCUGCGGAAGAUCAUUAAAAAUAUCGCUCGAUGAGAGUGAUUUAAUAAUCAUCCUACCCUUUGUGAAUUUGUUGUUUGUAAUAAUUUUUUUGAUUUUAAAAAAAAUUAUUUAUGGUUUUGUCUAUCCCUAAAAUUGGUUGUUGUGAAAUGAAUCAAAUUUAGGAAUAGGCUUUCAUAAAUAAGUUUUUUUAAAGUCUUAAAGACCUUUUUAAAAUCAAACUUUGUAUUCAUUUGUCUAAAUUUUUUUAAAUAAUUUAAAAACAACUUUGACAAUGGAUCUCUUGUUCUCGCAACGAUGAAGAACGCAGCAAAAUGCGAUAAGUAAUGUGAUUGCAGAAUACGUGAAUCAUCAAUCUUCGAACGCAUAUUGCACUUUUUUAGUUACUAAAAAAGUAUGUCUGUUUGAGUAUCAGUAAAAUUUCUCAUAAAAACAUUUUUGUUUUUAUGGUUAUGAGUGUUUUACAACGAUAAACAAGUUGUUUCACUUUAAAUUCAUUUAAUUUAAGACCAUUUUGGUUUUAAUAAAAAUUGGAUAAAUUUUCCCGUAAAAAGGAAUAAACUUUUCAGUUUUUUAUUAUUACCAACAAACGGUCCGAUUUAAAAGGAAAUUUAUUUAAAUAACUUGAUCUCAAAUCAGAUAAGAUACCCGCUGAACUUAAGCAUAUCAAUAAGCGGAGGAAAGAACUACAAGGAUUCCUUAGUAACGGCGAGUAAGCGGAAGAGCUCAAUUUGAAAUCUUCAAGGUUCUACCUUGACGAAUUGUAGUUUAAAGAAGUGUUUUCUGUUAGAUGAGUAGCAAAAGUUCCUUGGAAUGGGACAUCAUAGAGGUGAGAAUCCCGUAUUUGGUUAUUCAUUCUAGCUUUGUGAUACACUUUCAAGAGUCGGAUUGUUGGGAAUGCAGUCCAAAUGGGUGGUAAAUUUCAUCUAAAGCUAAAUAUUGGCGAGAGACCGAUAGCGACAAGUACCGUGAGGGAAAGAUGAAAGAACUUUGAAAAGAGAGUUAAACAGUACGUGAAAUUGUCAAAAGGGAAGCGUUUGACACAGUGUUGUUUUCCGAAAAUCAAUACGAAUGGCUUGAUUUUGUGUUGUAUUGACCUUAUCAGCUUUCUUCACUUUUUCGAGUCUUCUUAAUGCACUUUUCGGUUAACAAGUCAACAUCAAUUCUUUUGUUGUAAAAGAGUAUUCGGAAGGUGGCUUUCUUUUCGGAGAAAGUGUUUAUAGCCCUAUACUUUACAAUCGGAGAGAUUGAGGUCUGCAGCGUAGAUCCUUCGGGUUAGAUACAUUUGUGCUAAGUUGUAGCUUUUCAUAGACAACUUGUUGACUAUGUUUAGUCAUGCGGCUUACUCGCUUAUGCUAUUUUACCUACGCUUAGGAUGUUG